rnacentral:lncRNA from 1 species
AGGCUGUUAUAUGCUAUAUGAGGUUUCUGGUUUUCCUCAAAUAUCAGGAAUGGAAAUGUUGUAUAAAACUUGUAGUGGUAAAAAUGCUCAAGGGAGUGGAUUUGAAGAGAAAAGAGACACUGCUUUUUCUUCACUGGAAAAUGAGAUGGCUAGUGCUACAAAUGGAUUUUAUACAACUAGUUAUGAGUCUGUUUAUGUUGUAGGACAAUGUGAAGGGGAUGUUUUGGAAAAUGGGAUGGCUAGUGCUACCAAUGGAUUUUACACGACUAGUUAUGAGUCUGUUUAUGUUGUAGGACAAUGUGAAGGGGAU